CUCCCUCCACCAUGAAAAAAUCAAUUUUUUUUCAUUUUCUUUUCUUUGUUUUCUUUUCCUUUCCUUUGUUUUCGUACUUCUUUCUUCUCCUAACUUUUUGGGCACCAAACCUGCAGCUUCAAACACUAUUUUCUAGCACAACCAAACCCUAGGAGAGAGAAGGAAAAAUCUCUCUUUCUUUCAUUUAUUUUCUAUUUCUACCUCACCAUCACUAACAAUUGAAUUCUCAACUUUAAAUCUCCAUUUUAAGGCUAAAAGGUUUUUGUUGAUCUUUAUGCCUCCAAGGUCACCAAGCUUUCAGAUUCGAAGGUAGUUGAAUCCUAGGUAAAGGUGCUUCCUCUUGUUCAUCGUACGGUAGGUUUACCAAGACACUCCAUGAUAGUACCCACGCUAGAGUCACUCCACUGAUAGUCAAGGUCUUUUGUAUGUGUAUAUGGUUAUUUAAAUGUAAUUCGUGAGAUUUGUUGUAAACACUAUAUGUUUGGUUUGCAUGAUAAUGUCGCCAUAAG